UUGUAACUAAAAUGGUUUGGCAGUGAGCGAUUCUUGUUAGGGGAAGAUGCAUAGUAAAGGAUGGUCCACCUAUUAUUUCACUCUUGUUAUGUUGGUGUAUAUCUGGUUUGAUAUUAUCGUUUAAUGGUUUGAGUUUGUGUAGUUUUAGUUAAGCCAAGUCUAUGUGCUGCUUAUGGGAGUUUUUGUGUGUUACAUUAAUAAGGGUGUUGUUGUAAUAUGAUAUUAUUUAGGACUUAAUAGUAAUGU
rnacentral:rRNA from 1 species